AGUAAUAAUACUAAUAAUACUAAUAAUAUUACUAAUAUUAAUACAAAUAAUAAUUUUAAUAAUAAUACUAAUAAUAAUAAGUUUUUUUGACUUAGAUAUUUAUUUUCUUUUGAAGAUAGCAUGCAAUCGGCCGCUUACUUCCACGUGAGAUUGUGCUUUUGGUACGGUACGGAGCGUUGCAAUAAAUCUCAUCUCUUAUAUGUAUUCCGCUUCAGAAAAUGAACUACAUGUGAGGUGCACUGAUCGUACAUGCUCCUUGGGUUAUAUUUUUCAACUUUUUAGCUAGAAACUUAUUUGCAAUAUUUUUAUUUUACAUGGAGUUAAUUAUGUUGACAUCUAGCUUGGAAACCUCGUGUAGAAUUUAAAUUUCGGCAUCACUUUCACUUUAGUGGCAAUUUCGAGUCCUUCAAGGGAAGUUGCAUGUAGCUCAAGUCCGGUUCGAUCAUACGGAUACCUACAACUCAAAUUAAGUGGUAAGUUGAGUUACUUAUUAGGCCACAAUUUAAAGCUAUUAUGUAGCUGGUCAAUUUAUAGUCAAAUAGCUAUAGAACAAGUUGCAGCCUCUUAAGUAAGUAUCUUAAUUAAAAAAAGAAAAAUUUUUCAUCCAUUUUCCUAUCCUCCAUUUCACCUACUCUUCCUCUACCACCACCCAAGGCCACUGUAUGUUGCCUUUAGCCACUCUUCUUCACCUUCUCCACCAUUCUCAAGAGCUAUAUC
rnacentral:lncRNA from 1 species